UUUUUUCUUAUGAGUUCAGAUAUGAAGCAAUAUACUUUAUACUGUAUAUGAUUUAGAGAUUGAGUCAUAUAGUGUAUUAAAAGCAAAAUGCAAAAAACAUGGCUCUUCAGCACUGUUCAGAGGCAGUAUGCUGGUAGUGGUUAUGGGGCUUACGUGAGUGGAGGAACCAGAUUAACUGUUCUGGGCAAGAAAUCAAUACUGAAUGAAGUACAAUAUUGUAAAUAAUGGUUUUGUUCAGAUUUGAUGCCCUGUAAAAAUACUCCUGAAAGACACUUUGCAAGUAAUGAUAAAUGUUCUAACUGCUCAGUCAUGAUAAAAUUGCCUCAGUGUCAUAGUUUGAUUGUGGCUGAGUGUGACUUAAUUCACUGUCAGCUCCAGUACAUCACGUUGAAGGUUUCUUCAUGUCAAAGUGUGACAAAUUUGGAUAAAUUGCAAAGAGGUGCAUCAAGAAAGAAGCAGUGGGUUGUUUUUGUCAAGUCUGAAAACUAUGUGUUACUUUACCAAGGCUUACUUUGGAGCUGGAACAAAACUGACUGUCAUAGAAACAAACCGUAAUAUCACCGCGCCAAAAGUGAAAGUGCUUCGACCGUCACAAAAUGAAUGUGGAAAGAGAAAAAACAAGAAGGAGAAGACCUUAUUGUGUGUGGUCUCUGGUUUCUACCCUGACCAUGUGAGUGUGUCCUGGAAAAUUAAUCGAAAACAAGUCACCACUGGCAUAGCGACUGACAGCGUUGCCCUGCGAAACGGGGAGUUUUACAACAUCACCAGCAGGCUGAGUGUCCCAUUCAGACUGUGGUUUUCACCGGGCAAGAAGUUCUUCUGCACUGCCAGCAUCAUCAAUGGUAACGAGACUGUACAAAGAUCCAGUGGAGUCUACGCCGACUUAGGACUGAAGAAGAAAAGAGUUAAAUAUUUGAGGAUCACAGAAGCUGCCAAGCUGUCCUACACUGUGUUAAUAGCCAAGAGCAGUAUCUAUGGAGCCUUUGUGCUGUUUCUGGUGUGGAGACUUCAGCGAUCACCUGGAAAACAUAACAACUGAGAGCAGAGCUGCAUGAACCAGAUUAUUCUACUGAUUAAGUUGUUGUAAGUGUAAGUUGUAAGUUGUAAGUGCAUUUGCUUUCACUGCUUAAUACAGCUAAGCUAAUUACUGAUUUAAUCUGAUAUCCAAUUGAUUGAUACUAAAAAGCACUGUGUAAGAGUCUGUGUAAGUGCUUGUGAACUGCUUUAUGGUGAACUUUAUGCUCAAUAAAGGUUUUUUCAGAAGAGA